rnacentral:rRNA from 1 species
UGGCGAACGGCGGAGUAAUACAUAAGCAACGUGCCCUGAAGACUGGGAUAGUCAGAGGAAACUCUGGGUAAUACCAGAUGUGGUCAUCACCCGGCAUCGGGAGAUGAUUAAAUGGUUUUUCGCUUCAGGAGCGGCUUAUGGCCUAUCAGGUAGUUGGUGGGGUAAUGGCCUACCAAGCCGACGACGGGUAGCGGGUCUGAGAGGAUGAUCCGCUCGAGUGGGACUGAGACACGGCCCACACACCUACGGGUGGCAGCAGUUGGGAAUCUUGCACAAUGGGGGAAACCCUGAUGCAGCGACGCCGCGUGGAGGAUGAAGGAUCUAGGUCUGUAAACUCCUUUUUCAGGGAAAGACUUAGGACGGUACCCUGAGAAUAAGGACCGGCUAACUACGUGCCAGCAGCCGCGGUAAGACGUAGGGUCCAAGCGUUGUCCGGAUUUACUGGGCGUAAAGAGCGCGUAGGCGGUCUGUUAAGUGUAGAGUGAAAUCUCCAGGGCUCAACCCGGAAACUGCUCUGCAUACUGGCAGACUGGAGUGAUGCAGAGGUUUGUGGAAUUCCUGGUGUAACGGUGAAAUGUGUUGAUAUCAGGAGGAACACCCAUGGCGAAGGCAGCAAACUGGGCAUUAACUGACGCUGAGGCGCGAAAGCGUGGGUAGCAAACAGGAUUAGAUACCCUGGUAGUCCACGCCCUAAACGAUGGAUACUAGGCGUAAGAGGUAUCGACCCCUCUUGUGCCGCAGCUAACGCAUUAAGUAUCCCGCCUGGGGAGUACGGCCGCAAGGUUGAAAC